rnacentral:rRNA from 1 species
GUACGUGAACCUGCGGAAGGAUCAUUG